rnacentral:rRNA from 1 species
CCAUCUUUCAGUUGGGCUUUUAAGGAGAUUGCCGGUGAUAAACCGGAGGAAGGUGGGGAUGACGUCAAAUCAUCAUGCCCCUUAUGACUUGGGCUACACACGUGCUACAAUGGACGGUACAAACGGUUGCCAACCCGCGAGGGGGAGCUAAUCCGAUAAAACCGUUUUCAGUUCGGAUUGUAGGCUGCAAUUCGCCUACAUGAAGCCGGAAUCGCUAGUAAUCGCGGAUCAGCAUGCCGCGGUGAAUACGUUCCCGGGCCUUGUACACACCGCCCGUCACACCACGAGAGUUUGUAACACCCGAAGUCGGUGAGGUAACCUUUUGAGCCAGCCGCCGAAGGUGGAUAGAUGAUUUGGGGGG